rnacentral:rRNA from 1 species
UACAGAGGGUGCGAGCGUUAAUCGGAAUUACUGGGCGUAAAGGGCGCGUAGGCGGUGUAUUAAGUUAGAUGUGAAAUCCCUGGGCUUAACCUAGGAACUGCAUCUAAGACUGAUACGCUAGAGUGCGGUAGAGGAUAGUGGAAUUUCCGGUGUAGCGGUGAAAUGCGUAGAUAUCGGAAGGAACACCAGUGGCGAAGGCGGCUAUCUGGACUGACACUGACGCUGAGGCGCGAGAGCGUGGGGAGCAAACAGG